CUUGUUUGGAAAACACAUUUUUGGACCUUCUAACCUUGACCAAGUAAUCAUCAGCGGUGUUGAUUGGACUGCACAGUUGCAAUCUUACACAUCCUGAACAGAUACUUUUUGUAGUGAGGACCCAGUGAUGAUGCAGACUACAUCACCAUAAUGGCUUCAGUUAUGGACCCACCAUCUUGUGGUUGCACAGCUUCAGCACAUUUUGUUUCAUUAUUUUCCCACAUUACACAAUGCUUGAAAGCUGAAAGUAAUGCAUAUUUUACCUUCAACUCAUCAAAACUGUGAUGUAUGUGAAUGUAUGUUUGAGAUAGAAUAUUAUUUUAACUUGUAAGUAGAUUGUUAUUUACACGUGAAGCUGGAAAAAUGGCAAGAGAUAAAACUACAGACCAGACUCAGAACAAGCAUCAACAUCUAUACAUAAUCAACAGACCACACCCCAAAAUACAAAUGAAAUGGCCAAAACCUUGUUACACAGCGAUACAGACAUGAAUCCACAGAUGCAAGGUUUGUUAUUUGAGAUUAGUAGCCCCCAUUUUUACAUGACCUACUUGACUCCGCAACGAAAUCUCUGACGCAAACUCAUUGCGACGACCCAGGUGAUUUCAAAAGGUUCAGAUCUUUAGUACAAAGUGGGGGUAAUGAUAAUAAUAAUAAUAAAUUGAAUUUAUAUAGCGCUUUUCUUAGACUCAAAGUCGCUUUACAGGGGAGGUAGAUUAUAAAAACAGAACAAAACAAAACAAAUAAAAGCAAAACAAGAUUCAGGCACAAAUGAGAAGGGAGGGGGCGUGGGGCUACGGAUAGGCAGAGGUGAAGAGAUGGGUCUUGA